AUGGAAAUAAAAAACACAGAAGAUGAUGAAGUUCAUAACCCUGACCCAUAUGAUUUCUUCUAUAGAAACAUACCAAAGAACACACACGUGCUCAAAACAGUACCAAAUUGCAGCUUCUGCCAUGCAACAAAAUUCAAGUAUGAAACAAAGGGGUUAUGUUGCAGAAAAGGACCGAUAAGACUAGCCAAUCUAGAUACACCACCGGAACUCAGGAGACUUUGGAAAAACAAUGAAUCAUAUGCAAGACAUUUUCGGAACAAUAUAAGAUUUUUCAAUGGACACUUCUCAUUCACUACUCUAUACUGCAACCUUGACAAAGAGACAACUGACAUGCAAACAGCUGGUAUUUGUAUGUUUCGAGCACCUGGUCAGAUCUAUCAUAAUAUACACUCAUUUGGUAACAGUCGCUCAGAUCCAAAGCAUCUGGAGUUAUACUUCUACGAUGAUGAUCCAAUCUUGGAGAAUCGUUACCGCCAUUGCCGUGAGGAAAUGUACGAUCAAGACAAGAAGGUGAUUCGAAUAAUAACCGACAUUCUAUGCGAUAAUCCAUACUCUCAAUAG
rnacentral:rRNA from 1 species